rnacentral:rRNA from 1 species
AUUGAACGCUGGCGGCAGGCCUAACACAUGCAAGUCGAGCGAGCGGCGGACGGGUGAGUCAUGUCUGGGAAACUGCCUGAUGGAGGGGGAUAACUACUAGAAACGGUAGCUAAUCACGCAUACCAUCAGAUGUGGCCAGAUGGGAUUAGCUAGUAGGUGGGGUACCGGCCCACCAAGGCGACGAUCCCUAGCUGGUCUGAGAGGAUGAUCAGUCACACUGGAACUGAGACACGUACCAGACUCCUACGGGAGGCAGCAGUGGGGAAUAUUGCACAAUGGGCGAAAGCCUGAUGCAGCCAUGCCGCGUGUGUGAAGAAGGCCUUCGGGUUGUAAAGCACUUUCAGCGGGGAGGCGUUACCCGCAGAAGAAGCACCGGCUAACUCCGUGCCAGCAGCCGCGGUAAUAC